GAAAGAUGGCUUGGGCUAUCACUCUGGGAUGGACCUGCGGUGCAUUAGCUAGUUGGUAAGGUAACGGCUUACCAAGGCGAUGAUGCAUAGCCGAGUUGAGAGACUGAUCGGCCACAAUGGAACUGAGACACGGUCCAUACUCCUACGGGAGGCAGCAGUAGGGAAUCUUCCACAAUGGGCGCAAGCCUGAUGGAGCAACACCGCGUGAGUGAAGAAGGGUUUCGGCUCGUAAAGCUCUGUUGUUGGAGAAGAACGUGCGUGAGAGUAACUGUUCACGCAGUGACGGUAUCCAACCAGAAAGUCACGGCUAACUACGUGCCAGCAGCCGCGGUAAUACGUAGGUGGCAAGCGUUAUCCGGAUUUAUUGGGCGUAAAGCGAGCGCAGGCGGUUGCUUAGGUCUGAUGUGAAAGCCUUCGGCUUAACCGAAGAAGUGCAUCGGAAACCGGGCGACUUGAGUGCAGAAGAGGACAGUGGAACUCCAUGUGUAGCGGUGGAAUGCGUAGAUAUAUGGAAGAACACCAGUGGCGAAGGCGGCUGUCUGGUCUGCAACUGACGCUGAGGCUCGAAAGCAUGGGUAGCGAACAGGAUUAGAUACCCUGGUAGUCCAUGCCGUAAACGAUGAGUGCUAGGUGUUGGAGGGUUUCCGCCCUUCAGUGCCGG
rnacentral:rRNA from 1 species